GCUACAUGCAAUAAUUUAAAUAGUCAAAACUUAAUCAGUAAUUUAGUCAAUUUUUUUUUUGCUUUUUAGAGGGGGUCAUUUAGCAUCCUAGUAAACAGGGAAAUUUGAAAUACCAUCUUGUUUCUAAAAAUUAUAGCAUGUGACAUCCAUAACUUAAUCUAUAAUAAGAAAACCAAUCCAGAUAGCACCACAUUCAGAAAUAUAGCAUCAUAUUACCAUAAUGCAAAUAGGUUUUGAGGAGUAUCUGUUAUCUGAAUCCCUCCAACACUCCCCACCCCACG
rnacentral:lncRNA from 1 species